rnacentral:rRNA from 1 species
AUGAUCAAAGGGUGCGCGGCCAUGAAGAUGAUCAAAGGUCCUUGUGUUCGCCGGGGAAGGAUGGCAGGCCCGGUCCAGAGCAUCACCCGGGCGGAGAUCGACCGUUUCUGGAGGAGAAAGAAGCUGGAGGAAGAGGAACGCCGGCUCGAUGACGAGAAGGAGGCUGCAAGGAUCAAACUCAAGACUCUCAAGCAAGAAGAUUACAUGCUUUUUGUACAAAGGAUAGACGGGAUUAUAGACGAGAAAGCAGAGACAAGCGAGAUGAUGGAGGAGGGAGAGAUCGCCAGGAACAUUGAGAUACAAAUUGGCAUCAAGCAUUGGUGGAGGAAGAGCAGCUGCGCAUAUCUAAAUGAACCAGCAGUAGCAUCCGUUGAUGAUAACAGCAGUUGGAAGGCGAACACCGGAUAUAUUCCGCAGAAGAUACAAUUUAGGUGCUCCCAGCCAGCACUUUACCAGAUGAACGUGGCUGCUUUUGGGAUCUUCUAA